rnacentral:rRNA from 1 species
AUUGCCCCAGUAACGGCGAGUGAAGCGGCAACAGCUCAAAUUUGAAAUCUGGCCCCCAGGGCCCGAGUUGUAAUUUGCAGAGGAUGCUUUGGGCGAGGUGCCUUCCGAGUUCCCUGGAACGGGACGCCAUAGAGGGUGAGAGCCCCGUCUGGUCGGACACCGAGCCUGUGUAAAGCUCCUUCGACGAGUCGAGUAGUUUGGGAAUGCUGCUCAAAAUGGGAGGUAUAUGUCUUCUAAAGCUAAAUAUUGGCCAGAGACCGAUAGCGCACAAGUAGAGUGAUCGAAAGAUGAAAAGCACUUUGAAAAGAGGGUUAAAAAGUACGUGAAAUUGUUGAAAGGGAAGCGCCUAUGACCAGACUUGGGCCCGGUGAAUCAUCCAGCGUUCUCGCUGGUGCACUUUGCCGGGCACAGGCCAGCAUCAGUUUGGCGCGGGGGACAAAGGCUUCGGGAAUGUAGCUCCCUCGGGAGUGUUAUAGCCCGCUGCGCAAUGCCCUGCGCCGGACUGAGGUACGCGCAUCGCAAGGAUGCUGGCGUAAUGGUCAUCAGCGACCCGUCUUGAAACACGGACCAAGGAGUCGUCUUCGUAUGCGAGUGUUCGGGUGUCAAACCCCUACGCGUAAUGAAAGUGAACGCAGGUGAGAGCUUCGGCGCAUCAUCGACCGAUCCUGAUGUUCUCGGAUGGAUUUGAGUAAGAGCAUACGGGGCCGGACCCGAAAGAAGGUGAACUAUGCCUGUAUAGGGUGAAGCCAGAGGAAACUCUGGUGGAGGCUCGCAGCGGUUCUGACGUGCGAAUCGAUCGUCAAAUAUGGGCAUGGGGGCGAAAGACUAAUCGAACCUUCUAGUAGCUGGUUUC